UACGGGGGGGGCAAGCGUUGUUCGGAAUUACUGGGCGUAAAGGGCUCGUAGGCGGCCAACUAAGUCAGACGUGAAAUCCCUCGGCUUAACCGGGGAACUGCAUCUGAUACUGGAUGGCUUGAGUUCGGGAGAGGGAUGCGGAAUUCCAGGUGUAGCGGUGAAAUGCGUAGAUAUCGGGAGGAACACCAGUGGCGAAGGCGGCUUCCUGGACCUGUUCUGACACUGAGGAGCGAAAGCGUGGGGAGCGAUCCGG
rnacentral:rRNA from 1 species